AUACGGAGGGGGCUAGCUUUGUUCGGAAUUACUGGGCGUAAAGCGCGCGUAGGCGGGUUGGCAAGUUGAAGGUGAAAUCCCAGGGCUCAACCCUGGAACUGCCUCCAAAACUGCCAGUCUUGAGUUCGGAAGAGGUGAGUGGAAUUCCUAGUGUAGAGGUGAAAUUCGUAGAUAUUAGGAAGAACACCAGUGGCGAAGGCGACUCACUGGUCCGAUACUGACGCUGAGGUGCGAAAGCGCGGGUAGCAAACAGGAUUAGAAACCCCGGUAGUCC
rnacentral:rRNA from 1 species